UACAGAGACCUCAAGCGUUAUCCGGAAUCAUUGGGCGUAAAGGGUGUGUAGGCGGCGUCAUUAGUCUUCUGUCAAAGCCUUGGGCUUAACCCAAGAUCUGCAGAAGAAACGGCGAUGCUCGAGGAUGCGAGAGGUAGAUGGAACUCAUGGAGUAGGGGUGAAAUCCGUUGAUAUCAUGGGGAACACCGAAAGCGAAGGCAAUCUACUGGCGCACUCCUGACGCUGAGACACGAAAGCGUGGGUAGCGAACGGG
rnacentral:rRNA from 1 species